rnacentral:rRNA from 1 species
AGCGAACGCUGGCGGCAGGCUUAACACAUGCAAGUCGAACGCGCCGCAAGGGGAGUGGCAGACGGGUGAGUAACACGUGGGAACGUACCCUUUGGUUCGGAAUAACUUGGGGAAACUCAAGCUAAUACCGGAUAAGCCCUUAUGGGGAAAGGUUUACUGCCGAAGGAUCGGCCCGCGUCUGAUUAGCUAGUUGGUGAGGUAAUGGCUCACCAAGGCGACGAUCAGUAGCUGGUCUGAGAGGAUGAUCAGCCACACUGGGACUGAGACACGGCCCAGACUCCUACGGGAGGCAGCAGUGGGGAAUAUUGGACAAUGGGGGCAACCCUGAUCCAGCCAUGCCGCGUGAGUGAUGAAGGCCUUAGGGUUGUAAAGCUCUUUUACCCGGGACGAUAAUGACUGUACCGGGAGAAUAAGCCCCGGCUAACUUCGUGCCAGCCGCCGCGGUAA